rnacentral:miRNA from 1 species
AACAGGUUACACGUGAUGCAGU